AAGCAAAGCUUUUUUAUUAUUGUUAUCAAUAGACAUACUUUUAAAGAAUCAAUUAUCAGAUAAUCUGAGAAAUAUUUUAAAACAUUACUUUGAAAAUGCUUCUUUUCUUGGAGAUGUAUCCAUAUUGCUCCACUUAUACUUUGCUUCACAGCUUUUUAACAUAAAAAGUUAUAUUUAGGAGGUAUUUCAGUAAACGUCUCACUUCUUUCCCUGUUGAAAUGAUACUAAACUGUUUUUCUUUUGAGCUACAAUCAAAUCAAAGUCUAGUGUGAGAAGGAGGAGGGAAAAAAGGCACGCAUGGAAGCACAGGCAGGUGGAGAACAGCUAAAAAAAAUUGGAACUGUGAAACAUGGUUGUGUUGCCAAACCCUGACAAAAGGAUUAACUGCAUGGUUCUGAAAGAACCUUUUUAAGUCCUUCGCUCUGGAAUCAUAAGGCAAUAAAUAGUUUGUCUAACUCUGUCGUUCUCUUGGCAGCAUGCGAAAGAAAGGACGUGGAAAUGCAGUUGUAUCCGAACACUUUUCUGUCUUGCCUCAUCACUGUGGCCUUGUUUCUUUUGGGUGAACAAAAAACUCAGUUGGACUGACAAAUAUCUGCUUCAUCUCCAAGGCUAUCUGUUCUCAGGGCUGAGGAAACAGGAUAAUCUGCUCUGACAUACAGGCCUUCACCUACAGGGGGAGCUCUUUGGAGGGUAAAAGAUAAUCAAUGGAUAUGGGACAAAACUACUUUUGAGAAGAUUUUUAACUGUACAAAAGGGAGUAGUAAAAAGUAUUUAAAAAACUCAAAAGUACACAUUCUGCUUUGAAAGAUGAUCUUCUGAACCUGUGGUUGAGCCUUGCAAGGUGAGGUAGUAGGUUGUAUAGUUUUGGGCAUACAUUGCUCCUGUUAAAUAACUAUACAGUUUAUUACCUUUCUUGAGAGGCACAGUAAUUGCUUGGAAAAUUAUGACACUAUAUCGCCAUCGUGUGGCCUAAGAGUAGAACAACACUUCAAAUGAUUUGUGUUUCCUUUGUAGCUCUAAUGCGAAAAACUUAAACCUGUUAUGUUUAUCUGUUGUUUUGAUGACUCAGCUUUUUACUUUUGUCUUUUGUGUCCUGAUACAAACCCAAACCACAUAUUUCUAUUUGAAAAUGACAAUUAAAAACACCUUAAGUGCACAAACCAGUUGAGUUUUUCUUUCUUCACAGAAUAAAAUUUUACUUUGACUCUUCUUCUUUUUUUACACAUUUUUGCAUAUUUGGCUUCGUCUUUCUCUACAGUUUACUAGCGCAUGUCUACCACCAAUAGUUGGUGUGAAAUCUUGAAGUAAUAUGAAUCUUGCUUCAACCUUUUUUUCUUUCACAGCUCUAUUCUGAUAUAUGAAAGAAUUUGGGUCUCAUAACUCCAGCCGGGCCCCAAUUAGAAAUUUAUCUUCCGUGAUCAAUGUUCAAACAGUUGGCACUUCCGUGUUUUGUGUUGUACGUCACUACCAAAUCUGAGUCCCUGACUGGUCAAACUGGUUUAACUUUCAACGUACGUUAAAUUCCUAAAAGCAGUCAAAGAAACUUGCACAGCUACGUGUGAACACAAGAGUUUUUGUACGCUGAAGACUAAAACGUCCAUAUACGGGCGUUUACAUUAGGGGUGUAGGGAAAAA